rnacentral:rRNA from 1 species
UACGGAGGAUGCGAGCGUUAUCCGGAUUUAUUGGGUUUAAAGGGUGCGCAGGCGGCACGGCAAGCCGGCGGUCAAAUCGCGGGGCUCAACCCCGCCCAGCCGUCGGAACGGCCGGGCUAGAGUGGGCGAGAAGUGCGCGGAAUGCGUGGUGUAGCGGUGAAAUGCAUAGAUAUCACGCAGAACUCCGAUUGCGAAGGCAGCGCACCGGCGCCCUACUGACGCUCAGGCACGAAAGCGUGGGUAUCGAACAGG